rnacentral:rRNA from 1 species
AGCGAACAGGAUUAGAUACCCUGGUAGUCCACGCCGUAAACGAUGCUAACUCGUUUUUGGAUUUUCGGAUUCAGAGACCAAGCGAAAGUGAUAAGUUAGCCACCUGGGGAGUACGUUCGCAAGAAUGAAACUCAAAGGAAUUGACGGGGGCCCGCACAAGCGGUGGAUUAUGUGGUUUAAUUCGAUGAUACGCGAGGAACCUUACCAAGACUUAAAUGGGAAUUGACAGAUUUAGAAAUAGAUCCUCCUUCGGGCAAUUUUCAAGGUGCUGCAUGGUUGUCGUCAGCUCGUGCCGUGAGGUGUUAGGUUAAGUCCUGCAACGAGCGCAACCCCUGUCACUAGUUGCUAACAUUCAGUUGAGGACUCUAGUGAGACUGCCUACGCAAGUAGAGAGGAAGGUGGGGAUGACGUCAAAUCAUCACGGCCCUUACGUCUUGGGCCACACACGUAAUACAAUGGCCGGUACAGAGGGCAGCUACACAGCGAUGUGAUGCAAAUCUCGAAAGCCGGUCUCAGUUCGGAUUGGAGUCUGCAACUCGACUCUAUGAAGCUGGAAUCGCUAGUAAUCGCGCAUCAGCCAUGGCGCGGUGAAUACGUUCCCGGGCCUUGUACACACCGCCCGUCAAGCCAUGGAAGCUGGGGGUACCUGAAGUCGGUGACCGCAAGGAGCUGCCUAGGGUAAAACUGGUAACUAGGGCUAAGUCGUAACAAGGUAGCCGUACCGGAAGGUGCGGCUG